rnacentral:lncRNA from 1 species
UUUGGAUUUCGAAAUUAUGAUUUGUUUGUGUGAAGAGAGGCUACUCCUCUUGCUGGUGCGAUGCCAAAGGGGCUGAGGGAAGGUGGGACGCCUCCCCUUCACGCCAUUUGAAAUUGGGUUGGUUUUGGAUGAGAUUUUCCUAACCAACUCAAGUUUAUCCUUAUCCCUUCCUUUGUUCUCACGCCUCCACCCCUUGUGUGCACCCUCCUUGAGUGCCACAUCAGCAUUUCAGCACCUCCCUCACGCCCAAGACUCCUUUCCCACGUCCUCCUCUAAGUCCUAUUGCCAUUAGGACUCCACAACCCAAUUCAGCCUAAUCAAUUGGUCUAGCCAAUUUCAGCCCCCACUAAAAUUGGUGUCCAAUUUGGUCCAUUGGCUGACCCUCCUUGAACCCA